GGCAUGGUGGCUUAGUGGUUAGCAUGUUUGCCUCACACCUCCAGGGUUGGGGGUUUGAUUCCACCUUCUGUGUCA